AUUGAACGCUGGCGGCAGGCCUAACGCAUGCAAGUCGAGCGGAUGAAGGGAGCUUGCUCCUGGAUUCAGCGGCGGACGGGUGAGUAAUGCCUAGGAAUCUGCCUGGUAGUGGGGGAUAACGUCCGGAAACGGGCGCUAAUACCGCAUACGUCCUGAGGGAGAAAGUGGGGGAUCUUCGGACCUCACGCUAUCAGAUGAGCCUAGGUCGGAUUAGCUAGUUGGUGGGGUAAAGGCCUACCAAGGCGACGAUCCGUAACUGGUCUGAGAGGAUGAUCAGUCACACUGGAACUGAGACACGGUCCAGACUCCUACGGGAGGCAGCAGUGGGGAAUAUUGGACAAUGGGCGAAAGCCUGAUCCAGCCAUGCCGCGUGUGUGAAGAAGGUCUUCGGAGUGUAAAGCACUUUAAGUUGGGAGGAAGGGCAGUAAGUUAAUACCUUGCUGUUUUGACGUUACCAACAGAAUAAGCACCGGCUAACUUCGUG
rnacentral:rRNA from 1 species